GCCAGCGUGGCGUAGUGGUUUGAGCAUUGGACUGUGACUCUGGAGAGCAGAGUCCGAAUCCCUGCUCAGUCA